GUAGGUGAACCUGCGGAAGGAUCAUUACCGUGGGGUUUCGGCCCCAUUGAGAUAGCACCCUUUGUUUAUGAGUACCCUUGUUUCCUCGGCGGGCUUGCCCGCCGUGAGGACAUUAAAAACCCUUUGUAGUAGCAGUAACUUCAGUUAAUAGUAAAUAUUAAAACUUUCAACAACGGAUCUCUUGGUUCUG
rnacentral:misc_RNA from 1 species